rnacentral:rRNA from 1 species
CCUACGGGUGGCAGCAGUGAGGAAUAUUGGUCAAUGGACGAGAGUCUGAACCAGCCAAGUAGCGUGAAGGAUGACUGCCCUAUGGGUUGUAAACUUCUUUUAUAUGGGAAUAAAAUGUUCCACGUGUGGGAUUUUGUAUGUACCAUAUGAAUAAGGAUCGGCUAACUACGUGCCAGCAGCCGCGGUAAUACGGAGGCUCCGAGCGUUAUCCGGAUUUAUUGGGUUUAAAGGGAGCGUAGGUGGAUUGUUAAGUCAGUUGUGAAAGUUUGCGGCUCAACCGUAAAAUUGCAGUUGAAACUGGCAGUCUUGAGUACAGUAGAGGUGGGCGGAAUUCGUGGUGUAGCGGUGAAAUGCUUAGAGAUCACGAAGAACUCCGAUUGCGAAGGCAGUUCACUGGACUGCAACUGACACUGAGGCUCGAAAGUGUGGGUAUCAAACAGGAUUAGAUACCCGUGUAGUC